AAAAAAUAUCAUCGACUUGUUGGGUCCAUAAGUUUUCAUUGUCGUUUGAAUCCCAUUGUGUGGUUCACCCUAAUUCAACUCUUGAUGAUAAUCAUAUUUCUCCUGAGUUUGAUAGUUGUUGCGAUUAUCAUGUAUCGUUUUAGGACCUCCUCGGGUUCUGCAAAACUGAAUUUGCCUCGUAUCAAAAAAAAAGCUUUGAAUUCAUGGACUGCUAUUCAGGACACUUAUUUCUCUACCAAGGACACAUUUGAGAGGCACAAAGUGGUGUUUACUGUCUCCACUUCUGUUGCUACAGCUUGACUCGGAAAGUUUCACUGGAUCGACAGAAGUGAAGUGUUUAAUAAUGAAGAAUGCAACAAUGAGCAACUUGAAACAAGUCUCGCUUGAACUAGAUGAGCUAUUAUUAAAAUGGAUAUCCAGUUAUCCAUGAAAUCACCAUUUCAGUCAUAUCUACCCAUUUCAGUUAUAUCUAUCGAAAUUGAUGGAUCUCAUGUUUUUUGGCCUGUGACUGGAAUAUGCGCUGCAAGUGUGUUUAACAGGAAGAUGUAUGCAUAAAUAUGUAUGCAUAUAGGUAUACACAGAAAAAUCUAAUUUGAUGUCUACGUAUAUUCACUGCAUAUCAGUCACAAAAUACGUUUUCUGUUACGUCAAUUACUUAAAUUAACGGGAUUAUCAUUAUUCAUCGUUA